rfam:Triticum urartu cultivar G1812 contig651127, whole genome shotgun sequence.
GCAUCCAUGGCUGAAUGGUUAAAGCGCCCAACUCAUAAUUGGUAAAUUUGCGGGUUCAAUUCCUGCUUGAUGCA